GGCGCCACUGGGGAGACGGGGCCCAUGGGAGAGCGGGGCCAUCCUGGGCCCCCCGGCCCCCCCGGAGAACAAGGCCUCCCUGGGCUGGCUGGCAAGGAAGGGACGAAGGGCGACCCAGGACCCGCCGGUCUUCCCGGAAAAGACGGCCCAGCUGGCUUGAGAGGCUUUCCAGGGGACAGAGGGCUUCCCGGGCCGAUUGUAAGUCCAGCCCUUGGCCACAUUCUUUUCGUCGCUUGAGUCCUGGCUUCCCGGGCCGAUUGUAAGUCCAGCCCUCGGCCACAUUUCGUCGCUUGAGUUCUUGGGUCAGAAAUGGCCACCCCCACCCCUCCAGGCCUCCUGCCCGUUACUGGAGUAAAUCAACAAACUUUUUCUCUUCCCCCCCCCUUUCUGUUUCCUGCAGGGACCUGUCGGCCUCAAAGGCAACGAAGGGCCACCGGGGCCUCCUGGACCAGCGGUGAGUGGACGCCUCGGACGCCGCCGGCUAGACUUUUGGCGCUCUCCGAGGGUGCAAGGGAGGGGUGGGGGCGGCCCCUCUGUUGGUUUCCUUCUGUAACCAAAGGUGGGAAGCGUCCCGUGCAAUUCCGGGAGUCCAUUGUGGGUUACAUUUAAGGAAAACCGGGGCCCUGCUCCCAGACCCACACCUUUCUCCUGGGAGGUGUGGGCAACAUCCUGAUCUAAAAGGCAUUGCUUAAGAAGAAUGGGACGCAGGGUCCGCCCUCUUGCCGUCCACGGGCGCUCCGAGGUGCCCCCUCCAGCAAUGGGCAAGGGGUUGGCCGGCACCCAGCAAACAACCGAUUCAUGGGAUCGGUUCAGCCUUGCAGGGAAGUCCACCGCUCUCGGCGUGAGAGCCUCAGAGGGUCCCUGGAACCUUAUGUCAUUUGGAACAACCACAGCGGACCUUUUUGUUUUCUUCCUUAGCACCCUUUGCCUCUCCAUCCUGAGUUCACAAGCCCUUUUUUUCUUCAUCUUCUUCUUCCCUGAUCCAGGGUUCCCCUGGGGAACGAGGUCCUGCUGGAGCCUCCGGCCCAAUCGGUCUACCAGGGAGGCCCGGACCUCAAGGGCCACCAGGCCCUGCCGGCGAGAAAGGAGCCCCGGGGGAGAAAGGCCCUCAAGGGCCAGCCGGGCGCGAUGGCAUCCAGGGGCCCGUGGGGCUCCCGGGCCCUGCGGGUCCUGUCGGCCCACCUGGGGAAGACGGAGACAAGGGCGAAAUCGGAGACCCCGGGCAGAAGGGGGGCAAAGGAGACAAAGGAGAACAGGUACGUGCGGUUUUGAGACGGGCGCCUGGCGUCCAUCCUUUUCGGUUCCUUGCAGGGUGGGGCUGCCCACGGUGGGCGGAAGCACCCCGGGCAUUUCCUCCUGCAAGAGGAGGGCGACCUGCUCUUCGAUGCCAGGCUCACCAAGUCAGUCGUGA
rnacentral:lncRNA from 1 species